AAAACCCAUAUAUUUCAGUUUAUCUAUCUCCUGCAAGAAUCAAAAGUUCAAAACCUUUUACCUAUAUCAAAACCCAUAUCGGCAUAACAUUUCAGAUUGUUCAAAAAAUCAAAACCCAUAUCUUUCAGUUUCCAUCGCCCGCUGCUCCUGUUCGGGUUUGCCGUUCUCAAGCUUCAGCCGCUAGCCCACUGUCUCUCAACUCUCAAGCUUGCCCCCCCUCUCUCUGCAACUGCUAACUUGGUUAGCAUUGGGCCUUAACAUUUAGCAAGAACAAGUUUCAAGAAACAUGUCUCCUCAGUCAUCAGGUCUCUUUUCUGACAGAAGAGAGUUUAUGGGAAUGGGUGGAGUGGGCAAAAAAAAUAGGUCUGUUUUUUUUGCCUAGCUAAUUGAAUUAUAUAAAUCAUCCUACCGUUGUAGCAGUGAUUUUUGUUUUUGUUUUUGUUUUCUUCAUUUUUUAAUGUUAAUCUUAAAUUUUCAGCUUGGUCGACCAAGCUUUUACAGGAACGAAGUAUUCUA